rnacentral:lncRNA from 1 species
CCGCUUUUGUUUCCUUCCCAGAAACAAUGCAGAGCAGGUGGAGAAAGCGUGCUCUUUGCCCUGCUGUGUGCCUCUGAAGCUCCUCCCGGCAGAAAUCUGGGAAAACAGCCUCACCCAACUCCUCUCUUACCCAUCUCCUUGUAGCUUUAUUCUUUGCAUCUGCUGAGCAGUGGGUGGAGGUGGCAGGAGAGGGACCCAUAGUUCUGUAGCCUAGGAACUGCCUCGGUGUCUUUCUCAGAAAAAGGCAAAGAGGCAGACAGUACUAGGUUCCUCCCUCCUCCCUCAGGCCUGAUCCGUUGUGCCCUUGACUCAGCCAUCCCAAAGUUUCUUACCUGACUUUGGCUUUCACAUUUGUUCCUCCCAGAGCUAACUGAUAAGGGUGGAGGAGGAAUGCCUACUCCUAAGAGUCAGUGGAAAGACGAGAGAGUCACAUUCAAGCUUUCGCACAAG